rnacentral:rRNA from 1 species
UAAGCGACUAAGCGUACACGGUGGAUGCCUAGGCAGUCAGAGGCGAUGAAGGGCGUGCUAAUCUGCGAUAAGCGUCGGUAAGCUGAUAUGAAGCGUUACAACCGACGAUACCCGAAUGGGGAAACCCAGUGCAAUUCGUUGCACUAUUGCAUGGUGAAUACAUAGCCAUGCAAGGCGAACCGGGGGAACUGAAACAUCUAAGUACCCCGAGGAAAAGAAAUCAACCGAGAUUCCCCUAGUAGCGGCGAGCGAACGGGGAAGAGCCCAGAGUCUGAAUCAGUUUGUGUGUUAGUGGAAGCGUCUGGAAAGUCGCAGGGUACAGGGUGAUACUCCCGUACACAAAAACACACUUGCUGUGAACUCGAUGAGUAGGGCGGGACACGUGACAUCCUGUCUGAAUAUGGGGGGACCAUCCUCCAAGGCUAAAUACUCCUGACUGACCGAUAGUGAACCAGUACCGUGAGGGAAAGGCGAAAAGAACCCCGGCGAGGGGAGUGAAAUAGAACCUGAAACCGUGUACGUACAAGCAGUGGGAGCCUUGAUUUAUCAGGGUGACUGCGUACCUUUUGUAUAAUGGGUCAGCGACUUAUAUUUUGUAGCAAGGUUAACCGAAUAGGGGAGCCGUAGGGAAACCGAGUCUUAACUGGGCGUCUAGUUGCAAGGUAUAGACCCGAAACCCGGUGAUCUAGCCAUGGGCAGGUUGAAGGUUGGGUAACACUAACUGGAGGACCGAACCGACUAAUGUUGAAAAAUUAGCGGAUGACUUGUGGCUGGGGGUGAAAGGCCAAUCAAACCGGGAGAUAGCUGGUUCUCCCCGAAAGCUAUUUAGGUAGCGCCUCGUGAACUCAUCUUCGGGGGUAGAGCACUGUUUCGGCUAGGGGGUCAUCCCGACUUACCAAACCGAUGCAAACUCCGAAUACCGAAGAAUGUUAUCACGGGAGACACACGGCGGGUGCUAACGUCCGUCGUGAAGAGGGAAACAACCCAGACCGCCAGCUAAGGUCCCAAAGUCAUGGUUAAGUGGGAAACGAUGUGGGAAGGCAUAGACAGCCAGGAUGUUGGCUUAGAAGCAGCCAUCAUUUAAAGAAAGCGUAAUAGCUCACUGGUCGAGUCGGCCUGCGCGGAAGAUGUAACGGGGCUAAACCAUGCACCGAAGCUGCGGCAGCGACGCUUAGGCGUUGUUGGGUAGGGGAGCGUUCUGUAAGCCGUUGAAGGUGACCUGUGAGGGUUGCUGGAGGUAUCAGAAGUGCGAAUGCUGACAUAAGUAACGAUAAUGCGGGUGAAAAACCCGCACGCCGGAAGACCAAGGGUUCCUGUCCAACGUUAAUCGGGGCAGGGUGAGUCGACCCCUAAGGCGAGGCUGAAAAGCGUAGUCGAUGGGAAACAGGUUAAUAUUCCUGUACUUGGUGUUACUGCGAAGGGGGGACGGAGAAGGCUAGGCUAGCCGGGCGACGGUUGUCCCGGUUUAAGCAUGUAGGCGGAGUGACUUGGUAAAUCCGGUUGCUUAUCAACGCUGAGGUGUGAUGACGAGCCACUACGGUGGUGAAGUAGUUGAUGCCAAGCUUCCAGGAAAAGCCUCUAAGCAUCAGGUAACAUUAAAUCGUACCCCAAACCGACACAGGUGGUCAGGUAGAGAAUACUCAGGCGCUUGAGAGAACUCGGGUGAAGGAACUAGGCAAAAUGGUGCCGUAACUUCGGGAGAAGGCACGCUGGCAUUAGGUAAUGGGACUUGCUCCCGGCGCCGAAGCCAGUCGCAGAUACCAGCUGGCUGCAACUGUUUAAUAAAAACACAGCACUGUGCAAACACGAAAGUGGACGUAUACGGUGUGACGCCUGCCCGGUGCUGGAAGGUUAAUUGAUGGGGUCAGCCGCAAGGCGAAGCUCUUGAUCGAAGCCCCAGUAAACGGCGGCCGUAACUAUAACGGUCCUAAGGUAGCGAAAUUCCUUGUCGGGUAAGUUCCGACCUGCACGAAUGGCGUAAUGAUGGCCAGGCUGUCUCCACCCGAGACUCAGUGAAAUUGAACUCGCUGUGAAGAUGCAGUGUACCCGCGGCAAGACGGAAAGACCCCGUGAACCUUUACUAUAGCUUGACACUGAACAUUGAGCCUUGAUGUGUAGGAUAGGUGGGAGGCAUCGAAGCGUGGACGCCAGUCUGCGUGGAGCCAACCUUGAAAUACCACCCUUUAAUGUUUGAUGUUCUAACUCGGCCCCAUAAUCUGGGGUGAGGACAGUGUCUGGUGGGUAGUUUGACUGGGGCGGUCUCCUCCCAAAGAGUAACGGAGGAGCACGAAGGUUAGCUAAUCACGGUCGGACAUCGUGAGGUUAGUGCAAAGGCAUAAGCUAGCUUGACUGCGAGAGUGACGGCUCGAGCAGGUACGAAAGUAGGUCUUAGUGAUCCGGUGGUUCUGAAUGGAAGGGCCAUCGCUCAACGGAUAAAAGGUACUCCGGGGAUAACAGGCUGAUACCGCCCAAGAGUUCAUAUCGACGGCGGUGUUUGGCACCUCGAUGUCGGCUCAUCACAUCCUGGGGCUGAAGUAGGUCCCAAGGGUAUGGCUGUUCGCCAUUUAAAGUGGUACGCGAGCUGGGUUUAGAACGUCGUGAGACAGUUCGGUCCCUAUCUGCCGUGGGCGUUGGAAGAUUGAGAGGGGCUGCUCCUAGUACGAGAGGACCGGAGUGGACGAAUCACUGGUGUUCGGGUUGUCAUGCCAAUGGCAUUGCCCGGUAGCUAAAUUCGGAAGAGAUAACCGCUGAAAGCAUCUAAGCGGGAAACUUGCCUCGAGAUGAGUCUUCCCUGGGGCUUUAAGCCCCCUGAAGGAACGUUAAAGACUAUGACGUUGAUAGGCUGGGUGUGUAAGUGCAGCGAUGCAUUGAGCUAACCAGUACUAAUGAUCCGUGAGGCUUAACCU